GUUUUAAUGCAUGCUUAUGAGGAGUUUAAGCCAAUAAUAUUAAAAAGAAGCAAUACAGCUGCAUCGGCUAAAGCAAGAGAGUUGGCUUGGCAAAAAAUAACGGACAGAGUAAAUGCGUGUAAUCCUUCUGGAGCCACAAGAACUUUAAGCCAAGUCAAAAUGAAACACAAAAACAUUCUGCAAAAAGCUAACAGAAAGAAGACUGAAGCCCGUCUAACUGGCGGGGGGCCACCACCACCUCCCCUCACCCCAUCUGAGGAGCUGGCUCUGUCCCUUAAUAAAGGGCGACCAGUGGUUGCUGGCAUUCCAGGGGGCAGUUCAUCACACAUACUGUGCACCACAAGUGUUGGUGAGAA